AUUGAACGCUGGCGGCAGGCCUAACACAUGCAAGUCGAGCGGAUGAAGGGAGCUUGCUCCUGGAUUCAGCGGCGGACGGGUGAGUAAUGCCUAGGAAUCUGCCUGGUAGUGGGGGAUAACGUCCGGAAACGGGCGCUAAUACCGCAUACGUCCUGAGGGAGAAAGUGGGGGAUCUUCGGACCUCACGCUAUCAGAUGAGCCUAGGUCGGAUUAGCUAGUUGGUGGGGUAAAGGCCUACCAAGGCGACGAUCCGUAACUGGUCUGAGUGGAUGAUCAGUCACACUGGAACUGAGACACGGUCCAGACUCCUACGGGAGGGAGCAGUGGGGAAUAUUGGACAAUGGGCGAAAGCCUGAUCCAGCCAUGCCGCGUGUGUGAAGAAGGUCCUCCGAUUGUAAAGCACUUUAAGUUGGGAGGAAGGGCAGUAAGUUAAUACCUUGCUGUUUUGACGUUACCAACAGAAUAAGCACCGGCUAACUUCGUG
rnacentral:rRNA from 1 species